GCCAGUGUGGUGCAGUGGUUUGGUUGCUGGACUAUGACUCUAGAGACCAGAGUUUGAAUCCCAGCUCAGCCA